rnacentral:pre_miRNA from 1 species
UUGACUCAAAUUUGUAUGGAGUUGGAACGUUUGUCUACGUUUGCCACCAAGAGCGCUGUUCCAACUGUAUACAAAUUUGGGUUA